ACGGGUGAGUAACGCGUAUGCAACCUACCGAGUACAGAGGAAUAGCCCGCUGAAAAGCGGAUUAAUGCCUCAUGGCGUUGUUUGAUAGCAUUGUUAAACAACUAAAGAUUUAUCGGUACUCGAUGGGCAUGCGUGACAUUAGUUAGUUGGCGAGGUAACGGCUCACCAAGACAACGAUGUCUAGGGGUUCUGCAAGGAAGAUCCCCCACACUGGUACUGAGACACGGACCAGACUCC
rnacentral:rRNA from 1 species